rnacentral:rRNA from 1 species
AGAGUUUGAUCCUGGCUCAGGACUAGCGCUGGCGGUGUGUCUUAGACAUGCAAGUCGGGCGGGAUACAUUGUUGUAGCAAUACAGUGGUGUGUUUAGCGGCGAACGGGUGAGCAAUACAAGGGCAACCAACCCUUAGGAGGGGCACAACCCACCGAAAGGUGGGCUAAUACCCCAUGUUCUGCGGCGGAGGCAUCUCUGCCGUAGCAAAGGCGCUGCAAGGUGCCACCUUUGGACGGACUCUUGUCCUAUCAGCUUGAUGGCGGGGUAACGGCCCACCAUGGCAACGACGGGUAGCCGGCGUGAGAGCGUGACCGGCCACAGGGGAACUGCGAUACGGUCCCCACUCCUACGGGAGGCAGCAGUCUAGAAAUUUGGGCAAUGGGCGAAAGCCUGACCCAGCGACACCGCGUGGAGGAUGAAGUCUUUCGGGAUGUAAACUCCUGACAGGCGGAGCGAUGCCUUGCGCUCUAACUACGCGCAGGGUGACGGUACUGCCAAAGGAAGCCCCGGCUAACUACGUGCCAGCAGCCGCGGUAAUACGUAGGGGGCAAGCGCUGUCCGGAUUCACUGGGCGUAAAGGGUGUGCAGGCGGUCUGGCGUGUCGAUGGUGAAAGCUCCCGGCUUAACCGGGAAAGUGCUGUCGAAACUACCAGACUUGAGGACGGAAGAGGAAACUGGAACUUCUGGUGUAGCGGUAAAAUGCGUAGAUAUCAGAAGGAACGCCGAUAGCGAAGGCAGGUUUCUGGGACGUUCCUGACGCUGAAACACGAAAGCUAGGGGAGCAAACAGGAUUAGAUACCCUGGUAGUCCUAGCUGUAAACGAUGUACAUUAGGCGUGGGGAUUUUCCCCGUGCCGGAGCCAACGCGUUAAAUGUACCGCCUGGGGACUACGGCCGCAAGGUUGAAACUCAAAGGAAUUGACGG